rnacentral:rRNA from 1 species
CCCUUAGACGUUCUGGGCCGCACGCGCGCUACACUGACCAGUGCAACAAGCAUCCGUCCUUGGCCGACAGGCCCGGGCAAUCUUUGAACGUUGGUCGUGAUGGGGAUAGACUUUUGCAAUUUUUGGUCUUCAACGAGGAAUUCCUAGUAAACGCAAGUCAUCAACUUGCAUUGAUUACGUCCCUGCCCUUUGUACACACCGCCCGUCGCACCUACCGAUUGAAUGGUCCGGUGAAGCCUCCGGAUUGGCGCGCACCUCGGUGCCGCCGAGAAGUUGGCUAAACCUUACCAUUUAGAGGAAGGUGAAGUCGUAACA